AGCAGGGGAUCUCCAUGUCAGCCCGAAGGGGACCUUUGGCCAAUGGCAUCAUGUCCCGGUUACCAGAGGAUGUCGAGCAUCAUACUUUGUUUGCAGCAGAUAUAUGAUCUACCAAGAUCAUAUAUUUUCUCAGUAGAGCUUCAUGGCAUCUUUGAGAGCACUAAAAAUGACAAAACUAUAUUUGAAAAUGACCUGCACCAGUCCCUUGCCUGAGCCACAUGGAGUGUACCCUGAAAGAUCUCUACACACUGUUUGAGGGGGCAUAAGUGCUUUUUUUCCUGUUAGCGCUGCAUGUGAAUGAAUAUCAUCAAAAAGCCAAAAGUUCGAGAGUGGAUCUUGGGAAAUACCUGGAGUAAAAAUAAAAGUGGAGAAAGAAAAGGAAGAAAUAGUCAAAAGCAUGAAAGAAAAACAGCCCAAGAAGCUAUGGAAAGAGCUGAAGGCCUCAAAUAUGAAAGUUGGAACAGAUGAAAGAAAAGCUGAGGAAUUGUCCCAGACUGAAGGCCAUUAAAGAGAUGAUUCCCAAAUGCAAUGCUGAGCUUUUGACUGGGCCCUGGACCAGAAGAACUGACAUUCAUGUGACAACUAGAAGAAAUCUGAACAAGGAAGACUUCUGUGAUGGGUGUCUGCACGUUUCAAUGUUCCUACAAUUUCCUAGGGUCCCUGCUACAUGGGGACAGAGCAAAGUUUCCUACUAGUGAAAAGUUUCCUACUAUAAUAAGAACAGUUGCCCAUCAGUGCUUCAUUUAACUAUUAAUUUAAAAUCUACUUUCCUGACUUGAUUGGAGAC